UGGGAUAAAGUUCACAACGUCGUUUCCUUCCUGCAUUCGAUGUACAAGGUCCUUCGAGCCGUAGAUAAUGAGAUGUGGCCUUCGAUGGGGUCAAUGUAUGAGCUCAUGAGAAUUAUGAGAGAGGGGAUAAUGACUACAAUCCCCAGUUCGUAUCAGUGGAUGAUCAAUAUCAUCGAUCAUUGAUGGACCGGGACUCGAGCAUCCAAUCCACCAAGCCGCAUACUACCUGAAUCCCAAAUUUCAUUAUAAACGUUGGCUCCAUGAGAAUCAAGAUUUGACGAUGGCCGUCCACGAGGCGUUCGAACGAUUGUUCCGAGAAUCAACAGCGCAAGCAGAUUUUGGUAACCAGUUGUUGCGGUUUAGGGAUGCGAGGGGUACGUUUUCAUCCACACUAGCAAAAGCAUCGACUGAAACAAUGAUGCCGUGUGAGU